GUUAGGAAUAUUGGACAAUGGGCGCAAGCCUGAUCCAGCCAUGCCGCGUGAGUGAUGAAGGCCCUAGGGUUGUAAAGCUCUUUCACCGGUGAAGAUAAUGACGGUAACCGGAGAAGAAGCCCCGGCUAACUUCGUGCCAGCAGCCGCGGUAAUACGAAGGGGGCUAGCGUUGUUCGGAAUUACUGGGCGUACAGCGCACGUAGGCGGGUAUUUACGUCAGGGGUGAAAUCCCGGAGCUCAACUCCAGAACUGCCGUUGAUACUGGGUACCUAGAGUAUGGAAGGGGUAAGUGGAAUUCCGAGUGUAGAGGUGAAAUUCGUAGAUAUUCGGAGGAACACCAGUGGCGAUGGCGGCUUACUGGUCCAUUACUGACGCUGAGGUGCGAAAGCGUGGGGAGCAAACAGGAUUAGAUACCCGAGUAGUCC
rnacentral:rRNA from 1 species